UGGGGAAUAUUGCACAAUGGGCGAAAGCCUGAUGCAGCAACGCCGCGUGAGUGAUGAAGGCCUUCGGGUUGUAAAGCUCUGUCUUUUGGGACGAUAAUGACGGUACCAAAGGAGGAAGCCACGGCUAACUACGUGCCAGCAGCCGCGGUAAUACGUAGGUGGCAAGCGUUGUCCGGAUUUACUGGGCGUAAAGGAUGCGUAGGCGGAUUUUUAAGUGAGAUGUGAAAUACCCGGGCUUAACUUGGGUGCUGCAUUUCAAACUGGGAAUCUAGAGUGCGGGAGAGGAGAAUGGAAUUCCUAGUGUAGCGGUGAAAUGCGUAGAGAUUAGGAAGAACACCAGUGGCGAAGGCGAUUCUCUGGACCGUAACUGACGCUGAGGCAUGAAAGCGUGGGUAGCAAACAGGAUUAGAUACCCUGGUAGUCCACGCCGUAAACGAUGAGUACUAGGUGUAGGAGGUAUCGACCCCUUCUGUGCCGCAGUUAACACAAUAAGUACCCCGCCUGGGAAGUACGAUCGCAAGAUUAAAACUCAAAGGAAUUGACGGGGUC
rnacentral:rRNA from 1 species